UCAAGCUUGAAUAGGAGUAGAAGGAAAAAGAUGAGGAUAUCAGGACUUCAUAUUGGCCUCGUCCUCCCAAGUAGCACCCUCAACUAGAUGAUUCCUCCAUAAAACCUUAAUGGAAGAUAUUUCCUUGUUUCUCAAUCUCUUGACUUGUCGGUCUAGGAUUUCUACCGAAACCUCUUCAUAUGAAAGACUUUCGUCAACUCCCAACCCUUCUAGGGGAGUAAUGGACACCGGAUCUCCAAUACACUUCUUAAACAUAUAAACAUGAAAUACCGGGUGAACCGAGACCAACUUAUUCGGCAAAAUCAACUCAUAGGCAACUUUCCCAAUAUGCUUCAAAAUUUGAUAUGGUCCUACAUACCGGGGACUAAGUUUCCCUUUCUUGCCAAACCUCAUCACACCCUACAUGGGUGAGAUUUUCAAAUAGACCUAAUCAUUAACUUUGAAUUCUAGAUCCCUUCUUCUCACAUCGGCAUAAGACUUUUGCCGACUUUGGGUCAUUUUAUACCUCUCUCUAAUAGGCCGAACCUUCUCAAUAGCUUCAUAAACCGAUUCAGGACCAAUAAGAGCAAUUUCACCUACCUCAAACCAACUAGCUGCAGACCUACAUCUCCUACCAUACAAGGCUUCAAAGGGAGCCAUACCGAUGCUUAUGUGAUAACUAUUAUUUUAGGCAAACCCUAUUAGUGGCAAGUGGUUAUCCUAAUUACCCUUAAAAUCUAUAACACAUGCCCUCAACAUGUCUUCCAAUGUUUGAAUGGUACGCUCCGCUUGCCCAUAGGUAAGGGGAUGAAAAGUCGUACUAAGCUUAACCUUAGUACCAAACCCUUUGUGGAAUGACUUCCAAAACUGUGAAGUAAAUUGAGUACUCCCGAUCCGAAAUAAUAGAUAAAGGGACCCCAUGCAACUUCACUAUCUCUUUUAUAUACAACUUGGCAUAGUCUUCCGCCGAAUGAGAAACCCUGACAAGAAUGAAGUGGGCUGAUUUUGUCAUACGAUCUAUAAUGACCUAAAUAGAAUUAUCUUGCCUCCGGGUGCGAGGCAAACCCACAAUAAAGUUCAUGUUCACAUCUUCCCACUUCCAAGUAGGAAUAGGAAUAUCUUUUGCCAAGUCACCUGGCCUUUGAUGCUCAACCUUAAAUUGUUGACAAUUUGGACAUUUGGCUACAAAUCCCGCAAUAUCUUUCUUCAUAAUGUUCCACCAAUAGACUUCCCGUAGAUCAUGGUACAUCUUGGUGACUCCCAGAUGAAUAGAAUAUCGAGAACUAUAAGCUUUCUCUAGAAUUUGUUCCCUCAAACCAUCAACAUCCAGAACAAAUAACUUACCUAGGUACCUAAGCACCCCAUCUCCCCCUUGGGAGAAAGCCUCAACAGACUUCUUGAGUAAAGACUUUUUCAACUCAACUAAUAUAGGAUCAAGAUCUUGCUUAGACUUCAUAUGCAUCACAAAGGACGAUUCAGAACCAUUAUGGACCAUGACACCACCCUUGGUGGAAUGCACUAGUUGGACACCUAGUCGGGCCAGUCUAUGCACCUCACGAACCAAUUCUCUCUUUUCAUCAUCUACAUUAGCCACACUAGCCAUUGACAAUCUACUAAGAGCAUCUGCUACCACAUUAGCUUUGUCGGGGGUGAUAAAGGACACUCAUGUCAUAAUUCUUUCAUAAUUCUAACCACCUUCGUUGACGAAGAUUCAAGUCCUUUUGACUAAAUACAUAUUGAAAAUUUUUGUGAGCGGUGAAAAUAUCCACAUGGACCCUAUACAAAUAAUGCCUCUAUAUUUUUAAGGCAAACACAACCGCCGCCAAUUCAAGAUCAUGGGUCGGAUAAUUCUUCUCAUGGAUUUCAAGUUGCCUUGAAGCAUAGGAAAUCACUUUACCAUUUUGCAUCAGGAUACAUCCCAACCCCACUCUAGAGGCAUCACAAUAUACCACAAAGCCAUCCGUACACUCCGGUAAGGUUAACACCUGGAAACUUUUCUCACAAGCGUCCGACCACACAAAUUAGCUUUUUUUGAGUCAAAGGAGAAGCAAUGAAGGAAAUCCCCUCAACAAACCUUCUAUAGUAACUGACCAAACCCAAAAAGCCUCUACUGUCGGAAGGACUUAGAGGUCCAGGCCCACUCUUGACUGCAUCCGUCUUCUUCAGAUCUACCUCAAUACCCUUGCUUGACACAAUAUGACCAAGGAAAGCUACAGACCUUAACAAAAAUCACACGUACUAAACUUCGCAAAAAGUUGAUGGUCCUUAAGAACUUGCAACACAAUUCUCAAAUGGUCCAUAUGUUCAUUCUCACUCCUUGAAUAGAUCAAGAUAUCAUCGAUAAACACAGUCAAAAACAUGUCUAGGUAUUGCCUAAACACUAUAUUCAUCAAAUCCAUAAAUGUCACCGGGGCUUUUGCCUACCCAAAAGACAUAACCACAAAUUCAAAGUGACCAUACCGGGUUCUAAAGGCCGUCUUUGGAAUAUCAACUCCUCUCACCCUCAAUUGGCGAUAACCCGAACGAAGGUCAGUCUUAGAAAAAUAGCUAGCCCCUUGAAGUUGGUCAAACAAAUCAUCAAUUCUCGGAAGGGGAUAUUUAUUCUUGAUGGUCACUUUAUUCAAUUGACGAUAGUCUAUGCACAUUCUAAGAGACCCAUCCUUCUUUCUAACAAACAACACCGGAGCACCCNNNNNNNNNNNNNNNNNNNNNNNNNNNNNNNNNNNNNNNNNNNNNNNNNNNNNNNNNNNNNNNNNNNNNNNNNNNNNNNNNNNNNNNNNNNNNNNNNNNNNNNNNNNNNNNNNNNNNNNNNNNNNNNNNNNNNNNNNNNNNNNNNNNNNNNNNNNNNNNNNNNNNNACCCAAAUGACAUAACCACAAAUUCAUAGUGACCAUACCGAGUCCUAAAGGCCGUCUUUGUAAUGUCAACCCCUUUCACUAUUAAUUGGUGAGAACCCGAACGAAGAUCAAUUUUCGAGAAAUAGAUAUCCCCUUGAAGUUGAUCAAAUAAGUCAUCAAUUCUCAGGAGAGGAUAUUUAUUCUUAAUGGGUACAUUGUUCAAUUGACGAUAAUCAAUUCACAUUCUAAGAGACCCAUCCUUCUUUCUAACAAACAACACCGGAGCACCCUAUGGAGAGAUACUCGGCCGGAUAAACCCUAAUCUAACAAAUCCUUUAGUUUCUUUUUCAACUCGUCCGGAGACAUUCUAUAAGGAGGGAUUGAAAUAGGUUGCGUAUCUAGUAAAAGAUCAAUGCCAAAAUCUAUUUCCUGCUCGGGAGGAAUAUCAGGCAAAUCAUCUGGGAAAACUUUCGGGAACUCAUUCACUAUCGGAACCAACUCUAGGGAAGGGAUUUCGAAUUCAACAUCCAUCACCCUAACAAGAUGGUAAAUACACCCUUUGGAGAUCAUUUUCCUAGCCGUAACACAAGAGACAAAUUGACCUCUAGGGAUAGAAUUUCCCCCCUUCCACUCUAUAAUAGGUUCAUUUGGAAAUUGGAACUUAACAACCCGAGUCCUACAAUCGAUAGAGGCAUAAGAUGCAUGCAACCAAUCCAUACCCAAAAUCACAUCAAAGUAUAACAUGUCUAACUCUACAAAAUCCACCAAAGUAACUUUAUGGGCUAGGGAAAUGGGACAACUUCUAUAAAAAAAAAUUUGCCACUACCGAGUCACCAAAUGGGGUAGAAACCAAAAAAGGUUCUAAUAACACUUCGGGGAGCAUAUCAAACUUCAUGGACACAUAAGGUGUCACAAAGGACAAAGUAGCACCGGGAUCUAACAAGGUACACACAUCAAUAAGAAACACUUUUAAGAUACCGGUCACCACAUCUGGGGAUCUCUCUUGGUCAUCUUGGGAUCAAAGAGCAUAAAAAUGGUUUUGCUUUUGAGCAUUGGAGUUUGAACCACUUGGAGGAGCUUGCUUGACUUCUCUCCCCUUGGCCGUAAGUGUUGGGCAAUUUUUCAAUUGACGACUAUUCUUACCACACCCAUAACAAACAUCGAUUCCGGCUAGACACUUUCCAUCAUGAUUCUUCCCACAUUUUGCACAAUUUGGCUUAUUCGCAUAAAAGCCACCACUAUUUCUCCUUGAGGUUUAGAGUUGGAAACCCUAUCAUUGUUGACCCUUGGAGUACUAGAGUAGCCUUAGUUAGAGAACCUUUGUUUGAAUUUUUGUCGACCUUGUCCCUCGGACCUACCAUUGGAGAAAUUCCCAUCACUGGUUCUAGCUCUUUUCACCUCUCUAUUCUUUUCCUUGAGUUUCUCUUCUUCGAAUUUGUUGGGCAUGCACCAUGAGAUGUGAAAUAUCCAUACUCGGGAUAAGAAUUGUCGAACAACAUUCUUUGACUACCAUGUCGCACCCAUCACAAAUUUAUUCAUCUUGGACCUUGAAUCCGCUAGAAAAUUUGGUGAACUUAAGAGCAUACUCCUUCACGCUCAUACUACCUUGUCGAAGGUUAAUGAACUCAUGCAUCUUUGCUUCCCUCAACUCCAGGGGAAAGAAUCUAUCAAGAAACGCCUCUUUAAACGAUUCCCAUUCCACCGGUCCCGCUCCUACGGGUCUUUGACCCUUCCAGUGAUCAUACCAAACUUGAGCCACAUCUUUUAGUUGGUAGGUGGCUAACUCCGCCUUCUCUUCCGAAGACACCCCCAUAAUAGCAAGUACUUUGUAAACCUCAUCGAUAAACCUUUGGGGAUCCUCUUCCACUUUUGAGCCAUGAAAUUCAGGGGGGUUCAUUCUUGCAAAAUGCCUAACCCUUGAGGCGGCCAAAUUUACAUUAGGAUUUACAUGAGUCACAACAUCCUAUUGGCCUGAGCCAUUACCGCUUGAGCUUGCACAGUCAAAACUUGAGCUUGAGUCAUCAUAGCUUGGGUCAACUUUUAUAAAGCCGACCUAACCUCCAUGUCCGACAUAGCCGAAGGAUUAAUCAGAGCUUGAUCAACUUGAGGAGCUUGAUUAGCUUGAGAAGUUUCUUCAUUCACAUUGUCAUCCUUCAUUCAUCUAGCGUUAGCCCUUCAUGUAUUCAU
rnacentral:lncRNA from 1 species